UACGGAGGGUGCAAGCGUUGUCCGGAAUCACUGGGCGUAAAGGGCGCGUAGGCGGCCUGGUAAGUAGGGGGUGAAAUCCUGCGGCUUAACCGCAGGGCUGCCUUCUAAACUGUCAGGCUUGAGCACGGUAGAGGCAGAUGGAAUUCCCGGUGUAGCGGUGGAAUGCGUAGAGAUCGGGAAGAACAUCAGUGGCGAAGGCGGUCUGCUGGGCCGUUGCUGACGCUGAUGAGCGAAAGCUAGGGGAGCAAACAGG
rnacentral:rRNA from 1 species